UACUAACGCUGGCGGCGUGCUUAACACAUGCAAGUCGAACGGAAAGGCCCUGCUUUUGUGGGGUGCUCGAGUGGCGAACGGGUGAGUAACACGUGAGUAACCUGCCCUUGACUUUGGGAUAACUUCAGGAAACUGGGGCUAAUACCGGAUAGGAGCUCCUGCUGCAUGGUGGGGGUUGGAAAGUUUCGGCGAUUGGGGAUGGACUCGCGGCUUAUCAGCUUGUUGGUGGGGUAGUGGCUUACCAAGGCUUUGACGGGUAGCCGGCCUGAGAGGGUGACCGGCCACAUUGGGACUGAGAUACGGCCCAGACUCCUACGGGAGGCAGCAGUGGGGAAUAUUGCACAAUGGGCGGAAGCCUGAUGCAGCAACGCCGCGUGCGGGAUGACGGCCUUCGGGUUGUAAACCGCUUUCGCCUGUGACGAAGCGUGAGUGACGGUAAUGGGUAAAGAAGCACCGGCUAACUACGUG
rnacentral:rRNA from 1 species